GUGGGCGCUGGUGGGGACUGCCUGGUGUGUGAUGGGGACAGGAACAGGCAUGGAGAUGGCCCACACCCGAGACAGUGGGCUCCUGGGGCCACCUCUUCUCCACACGGCGGCAGCAGGUCUAGUUCGGGCCUAACAGCCCAGCCAUCCCUGAGAGCCAGCGCCGAGGGUGCAGCAGCUGCCUCCUCUCCGGGCCCACCGGACGGUCGCCGUCCUGCCAGGAGCUCCCGUGCCCAUCGCCAGAGAGGGAAAUGCUCCUUGGUCUCAGGAGGCAGCGGGGCCCGGGACUCACAUGGACCUGGGCCCAAGUCGACCAGUUCCAGCUGGGCACACUGGGAAGGUCACCCACCUCCCGAGCCCUCCAUGUCCAGGCCAUUGUGGGAAAACCCUCUCCAACAGGGGAGUGAAGGGACAGGAUGGAGCGGGAGCGGCGCCAAAGCACGGGGAGAACCAGAGGCCGCAGGUGAGACCCCGCCGUGGGCCAUGUCCCGUCUCUUCCUCUGAGGGCAGGCGUUUCACCCGAUCACCCUCCCGGCUCUCUCGGCCACCCCUGCUUGGGCUUGCUCCUGUCUGGUGUUGGGUGACCUGCCUGCUGCUCUCAGACCCCACACCCGUUUGUGGCCUCAUGGCCAUGAGUGGCCCCGUCCCCGACUCCACUGCAGUGGGCACAGUGGUGGCCCCCAAAUGAUCGGUCCACCUGGAGCCUGUGAACACGACAGGCUUAUUUGGGAAAAGGGUCUUUGUCCAGAGACAAAGGCCCUUAGAAGACAGAGGUCGGGGGAGAUUUGAGAGGGAGGCGACAGAGGCCACGUGAAGAUGAGGCAGAGAUGGGAAUGACACGGCCACGUCCACGGGACACCUGGGGCCACCAAAUGCCAGAAGAGGCGGGAAGAACCUCCCCUGCAGCCUGCAGAGAGAGGACAGUCCUGCCGAUAGCUUGAUUUUGGUUCCGGCCACCAGGACUCGGAGAAAAUAGACUUCUGUUGUUUGCAGCUGCCCCAUUUGUGGUCUUUUGUUGGGUGGCCCCAGACAUAAUCCCAGCACUGGCCUGGCCCGGCCCAUGGGCAGCUGUCCCCAGCCUGGCGGAGGGUGUGGCUGUGAUGUUACCCCCAGGAUAUCCAGUACCGCAGUCUCCAUCUGAGCCGCCAUCGGGCUGUGGGGUGCCUGCUAGCCUGUGGCAGAAGGACCAGGACCUGGGGGCUGGCAGGGAGCAAGAGCUGAGCGAACCAGCUGGGAGGAAGGACUGAGGCCACACCGGUGUCCGGGGGGAUUCGGACGUCACCAGUGUGGAGUCUGGGGGUGUUCUGACUGACUUUAGACAGAAAUUUCUUUUUCUCUCUGGAAAGGGCGGCGGUGGGCCCGUGUGCAGGGGAGCGUGGACUUGGAACUCGGGGAGCCCUGGGUUCUGCCUCAUCCUCUACAUCCCUGUGGGGCCACGUCCACUCACCGAGGGGUUCUUGCCGCCUUGACUGAGGGUGGCCGGGCACCAGCACCUUUGCAGCUUUGCCCAGCACCUUGGCAUGGGGUCGGGGGCGGUGCAGAGUUCUGUUUUACAGGGAAGGGAACUGAGGCACAGGGAGAUGACAGCUCGCCGCUGGUGCUGACCAUGGGCUCACACUGCCUGGCCGCCCGUGCAGCCCCUGCCCUCCAUGACGAACGUGCUCAUGUUUCCUGGCUGCCCCCCGGCCCCACUCCCACCUCCCUGGCUAAACAAGGGAGAUCUUGAUGUGAGUUCUCCUUUUUCCUUUCUGGAAGGAAUGGCAGACUCUGGACAUGCUCCUAGAGAUGGGAGGUCAAAAUGAUCAACGUUCAGGGUCCCUUCAUCUCAGAGGGUCUCGAGUCACCUCAUUUAAAGUGUGGCCUGGGACACCUCCUAUCCAGCCAUACGCCGCCCAGGACUGGCUCAACAGCUCCACCCUCCACUGCUGUUCACCCAUGACACGUCACUUCCCACCCGCCACUGCUGGCUCACCUGUGACACCCCAGGCAGCUCAGAUGCCCGGCAGGUCCUGCUGGUGUGUGUUAGCCGGGGUCUCCAAAGAACCAGAGCCAGCAGGGGACACACCCAUCUCUGUAUCUGGAGAAAAAGAUCGAUGAGAAGGAAUCUGCUCCUGUGAUGAUGGAGGCUGACAAGUCCCGAGAGCCACGGUUGGCACCCUGGAGACCCCUGAGGGUGAUACCACCACUCCAGGCUGAAAGCUGGCAGGCUUGAGACCCUGGGAGAGCUGGCCCUCUGACUCCUGGGACUUCUUAUUCUAUCCUAGUAUUUCCUCAGCUGAGUGCAUGGGGCCAGACCACACUGGGGAGGGCAGUCAGCGUCACUCAGAGCACCGGGUCAUCUCAUGCAGAAACACCCUCAAAGAAAUAGCCCAAAUUAUGCUGACCAAAUAUCUGGGCACCCCGUGCCCCAGACAAGUUGACACAGAAAAUUAACCAUCACAGGUUAACUCCAUCCAGGAGUGGAAUUGCUGGGUCAUAGAGAAGGCAUAGGAAUUCACAGAAAUCACCAAACGGUUUUCAGGCGGUUGUGCCAUGUUAAACUCCCACUGGAAAGAGAGGAGAGCUGUGAUUGUUCCACGUCCUCAGCAACGUUUAGAAUAGGCAGUCUUUGGCCGGGCCGGGCACAGAGGCUCAAACCUGUAACCCCAGCACUUUGGGAGGCCAUAGUGGGUGGAUUACCUGAGAUCAAGAGUUCAAGACCAGCCUGGCCAACAUGGUUAAACCCCGUCUCUAUUAAAAAUGCAAAAAUUAGCCAGGCGUGGUGGUGCGUGCCUGUAAUUCCAGCUACUUGGGGGCUGAGGCAGGAGAAUCGUUUGA
ensembl:lncRNA LINC03048 long intergenic non-protein coding RNA 3048